GGAAGUAAAGGUCGUAACAAGGUUUCCGUAGGUGAACCUGCGGAAGGAUCAUUACUGAGUGAGGGCCCUCUGGGUCCAACCUCCCACCCGUGUUUAUUGUACCUUGUUGCUUCGGUGCGCCCGCCUCACGGCCGCCGGGGGGCUUCUGCCCCCGGGUCCGCGCGCACCGGAGACACCAUUGAACUCUGUCUGAAGAUUGCAGUCUGAGCAUAAACUAAAUAAGUUAAAACUUUCAACAACGGAUCUCUUGGUUCCG
rnacentral:misc_RNA from 1 species